rnacentral:rRNA from 1 species
UAAGACGAAGGGGGCUAGCGUUGUUCGGAAUUACUGGGCGUAAAGCGAGUGUAGGCGGUUGUCAUAGUCAGGUGUGAAAGCCUUGAGCUCAACUCAAGAAAUGCACUUGAUACUGGGCGACUAGAGGACCGGAGAGGAUAGUGGAAUUCCCAGUGUAGUGGUGAAAUACGUAGAGAUUGGGAAGAACACCAGUGGCGAAGGCGGCUAUCUGGACGGUUACUGACGCUAAGACUCGAAAGCGUGGGGAGCAAACAGGAUUAGAUACCCUGGUAGUCCACGCCGUAAACGAUGGGUGCUAGACGUUGGCGAGCUUGCUCGUCAGUGUCGCAGCUAACGCGUUAAGCACCCCGCCUGGGGAGUACGGCCGCAAGGUUGAAACUUAAAGGAAUUGACGG